UUGAAGAUAAGAAGGCAGGCAGGAGAGAGAACUCCUAGACCUCUGUGGGUCUCACUUCCUUGAGUCUGGACUCUAACAGGAGUUUAAGAAGGGCCUGAAGAAACUUCUAGAGAGAGGAAAAUACCCUCUGCACACAGAACUAGCAGAGAGGCAUCCUCAAGCUAAAAUCUAUGAGGAAGUCCUACAGAGUGGGGCAGAUCACUUGGUUUCAGGUGAUUCCUUCAGUUUGUUUACCCCAGAUCUUCAUCCUGUCUUGUUUAGAGGUUUCUGACUGGUCGUAGCUGUGCUGGGGGGAGAAGUAUGGUCUGACCUGAUCCGGACUGAGGUGCUGAAGAGGACAGAGCACCCCUGAGGCCGAGUGGGAGUGGCACCCUCGAAGGAGAGCAACCGCAGCGGGGAGUCGGCGUCCAGGGGAGGCCAGAGGGCUAGCCUGUUGGAGGAUGUGAGAGACAUGGGGAGGAGAGCAGAGUCAUCCUGGAUGAGGCCAUCCUACUAGCCAGCCCCCAGCCAUCCUGCCAGCUGACCACAAGUGUGUGAACAAGCCCAGGUCUUAUUUGGCGUGAGAACUUAGUUGCCCCGUGGCAUGUGGAAUCUUAGUUCCCCG